CAGGAUGAACGCUGGCGGCGUGCCUAAUACAUGCAAGUCGAACGAGAGUGCUUGCACUCUAGUGGCGAACGGGUGAGUAACACGUAGGUAACCUGCCUUACAGUUUGGGAUACCCUGGCGAAAGCUAGGCUAAUACCGAAUAAUUGGAUUGGAGGCAUCUCCGAUCUCUAAAAGGGGCCUUUAAAGCCUCGGCUGAAUGAUGGACCUGCGGCGCAUUAGCUAGUUGGUGAGAUAACAGCCCACCAAGGCGAGGAUGCGUAGCCGACCUGAGAGGGUGAACGGCCACACUGGAACUGAGACACGGUCCAGACUCCCACGGGAGGCAGCAGUAGGGAGUUUUCGGCAAUGGGGGCAACCCUGACCGAGCAACGCCGCGUGAAUGAAUGAAGGUCUUCGGAUUGUAAAGUUCUGUUAUAAGGGAAAAAUGAUAUGGUGAGGAAAUGCUCCAUAUUUGAUGGUACCUUAUUAGAAAGCCACGGCUAACUACGUGCCAGCCGCCGC
rnacentral:rRNA from 1 species